rnacentral:rRNA from 1 species
GACGAACGCUGGCGGCGUGCCUAACACAUGCAAGUCGAACGGAGAGUUUAGAAACGAGAAUUUCGGUUCAAGUUUUAAAUUCUUAGUGGCGGACGGGUGAGUAACGCGUGAGCAAUCUGCCUCUCAGUGGGGGGACAACAGUUGGAAACGACUGCUAAUACCGCAUAACACUUUAGUACCGCAUGGUACAGAAGUCAAAGAUUUUAUCGGUAAAGGAUGGGCUCGCGUCCCAUUAGCUAGUUGGUAGGGUAACGGUCUACCAAGGCAACGAUGGGUAGCCGGCCUGAGAGGGUGAUCGGCCACAUUGGGACUGAGACACGGCCCAAACUCCUACGGGAGGCAGCAGUGGGGAAUAUUCCGCAAUGGGCGCAAGCCUGACGGAGCAACGCCGCGUGAAGGAAGAAGGUUUUCGGAUUGUAAACUUCUUUUAUUAGGGACGAAAUUUGACGGUACCUAAUGAAUAAGCUCCGGCUAACUACGUG